CAAAUAAGUGAAGAAAAUGGCAAAACGCCACUUUUUCCUUCUUUCUCCCAUGAUGCCUAUUUGAACCCCCAACCCUAACUAUCUCUCUCUCUCACUCCCCCGAUGCCUUUGCACCGCUGUAGUCCCUAGCCGUCGUCGAUAGUGGGUUCGUAUGCCGGUAAGGCUCCGACCAGCCAUCGCACAGUAGCAGACUCUCUCUCUCUCUCUCAAUUUCUCCCUCUGUUUCUCCCAUCUCUCAGCCACCACCCACGCCAUCAGCCACCGCAAGCACACCAGGCACGAGCAACCAUCACCACACAACACCACAACCAAGCCCCUUUACAUCAGACAAGUGCUGCAAGCCACCAUUGCAUGCCCCUUUCCUCAUCGAAGCUUCCAACUCCUCUGUACCCAGCCACUAUCCGUCGUACAGAACCACCUAGUUGUGCCCAGCCCCAUCACCUCCUUCAUUUAUAGACCACGAAGUCGUGAUCCCUUGUGGAGAUGCCCCUUUUCUCUCCUCGCCCACACAGCAUCUAGUUCCAUCUCUAACCAGCCCCUAAAUUUUGAUAUAAUCCCUAUUUCCCUAUCUCCUAGAUUAAUAAUUACACUUGAUUUAAUGAUGUUAUAUUUGAAUGCUUGGACAUAGGCAAGUUGUGUUAUACUUGGUUGGAAUUGUAUUGAGCCAUGAUGAAUUGAAUAUGCGUGUUGUAUUUAUUAUGAGGGUUGGGAUUGAAAUAUAGAUCUAUGGUACUCCAUUACAUGCUGAUUUACAGGGGUGUGGGAGAGGGCAAGUAUUAAUUUCCUACUAAAUGCUUGUUUGCAGUUUUGUUUGGCAUCUAAAGUGUAAUUCUAAAAUGCCUCAUCCAUAUAUACAGACUGCUAUCGCAUAUUGUUUGAUCCAUUAAUUAUUUGGUAAUAAAAUAAGAAAUCAUUCUCAUCGCAGAACAAAGUUAGGAAACCAGUUUUGGAAUAUGUAUAUUGUGGCUUCUUAAUGGCCAUCAUCUUGACUAAAGCUCAAUGUUGCAUAUGUUGUCACGCUUCUAUAUUUGAAUUAUUGUCUUCAGUUAACUCAUCUUUCUUGUUUACCUUAGAUAAGGCCCAUUCUCUGUGUGUGUGUGUGUAGUUAUUUAUAAAAUACUUGUUAUUGAUGGUUUUGGCCUGUCAUGCUUAUAACUAAAGUUGCAUGAAGUUUCACUUAUCAUUCAUGCUGUGUUUUAUUAUUUCUCAACUUAUCAAUUAAUUUUAGUAAUAUACAUUUCAAUUCAUUCGUUGAUGUGUCAGAAGUUUUUUGUUUUUGCAGUCAUGCAAUUCUUAUCUAUCUUGCUUGUGCAUUUCCUGUAAGUUAUUUUAAUAUAUUUUUAUUUAUUUCAUUGUGCAAUUAUCUAACAAAUGGGAUUGUUCCAGUGCUAGGCUAGAAACCUCAAAAUUUAUCAUUUGCAUAGAAUGAGGGAACCCAAGAAAAGGAAUGAAAAAAUAAGCUCAUUCAAUUGGUGAUGUUAAUUUCCUGGAAAGUCUCAACUUUUUUUGGUAUCCAAACACUUUCCUAGAGCAGUAACCUUUGGAAUUUGGUUUUCCUUUAGUUCCUACUCCUAUGUAUACCUCUCUGAUCUUAUAGGUGGAUGUUGAGAAACGAGCUAGAUGGCUUAAACUUCAAUGAGCUCCAGAACCUAGAGGACCAGUUGAGUGAAGGGGUAUUAUCGGUGAAGGCCAAGAGACCAUCUAUUGGAAAUAUUUUGGAAAAAAUAGUUUCAGACUAUCAUAUCCUUUAUGGUGGCCAGUUGGAUGAAGAAGUUGUACUGAGCAAGUGUACCAAUGCCCCGCUACUAGUAUAUACAAAUAUUUGUAUUUUUGCUCAUUAGAUAAUCUUUGGUCAUUUCUUGCUUUGAACGAUCCUUUAAUUAUCAAUUAUUAAGUUUUUGGUACAAGGUAUUUUCCCUUGUGUGCUUUCCACAUAUUUUAGGUAGAGUUUUUUUCUUAAUUAGGUGGUAUACUUCUUUAUAUAUGGCCCUAUAUUACACUUACUUGGUUACAAGUUUAUGCUUGUAAUAAACCUAUGGCUCAAUAUGUGGGCUAGCUAUAUGGUUGUUGGAAAUGUUAAUUUUUGCAUACUUGUAUUAUUUUUGCAAACAUUCUUAACACAAUUUGAAGAUGAUGACGAGAAUUUUUCUUGUUACAUUCUUAAUUUUUUUGGUACCCUCCCCUUUUGCUCUGUCCUUAUGAGCAAUUUCAUAUUUUCUGAUGGAUCUCUCAUUUUAUAGGACUUGAUUUAGUUAAUUGAAACAUUCUCUCAACCCUUCCCCAUUAUAGUUUUAGGGGGUGGAAGCUUUCAUCUUGAUAGGGUUAUGUGAAGAAUGUUACAUCUCUUUGAACCUGUUAUACAAUACAAUAAUAUAUUACUGAACUUGGUGAUCAUGGUUCUUUGUUCUGUAUGCUUGUAAUUAUCAAGUAUUAAGCUGGUUCUUAUCAUCUUAUUACCAAUCUCAUUUUUAUCAAAAGCUUGUGUUACCUUUUUGUUACUUCUAAUACAUGAUGCAAUGCAGGAUCUGAAGACUUGUAUCAAAAUUUGAGUGCUGUAAUUUUGUUAAGGAGUAAUACUUGGGUCCUUUCUGUGUCUUAGGGUGCUGUCACUUAAUUCUUAUAAUUUUUUUGGGCUUUGUAUACGUCUUUUGCUCUCAAAUAUGCUGCUGAAACUGCUUGCACUAUGCUUCGUGUAUACCAGGUAGUUGAAUAUGAGAACGUGCCAUUUCAUUUUGGUUAUAUUCUUUUUGGUUGAAUCUUUUGUCAGUGAAACUCAAGAAGUCUAAUUUUUUUCCCUUAGAACUAUGGUGCCAUUUCUUUUCUUGAAAAUGAUGACAAGGGAUAUCAUUUGGAACUCAAGUAUACAUUUGAGAUCAAAAGAGCAAUUAGAUGAGUUUUGCCCAAACAAUUGUAUUUUUAUUCUUUUCCAUUUCUUUCCCUUCUUGUGAAUUACAUACAUGUUUGUUUGUGAUAUUUAGUAAUUUAGUUGAAUAUUGAUUGGUAGGUGUGAAACAAUA